GAUGAACGCUGGCGGCGUGCCUAAUACAUGCAAGUCGAGCGAACGGACGAGAGGCUUGCUUCUCUGAUGUUAGCGGCGGACGGGUGAGUAACACGUGGACAACCUACCUAUAAGACUGGGAUAACUUCGGGAAACCGGAGCUAAUACCGGAUAAUAUUUUGAACCGCAUGGUUCAAAAGUGAAAGACGGUCUUGCUGUCACUUAUAGAUGGAUCCGCGCUGCAUUAGCUAGUUGGUAAGGUAACGGCUUACCAAGGCAACGAUGCAUAGCCGACCUGAGAGGGUGAUCGGCCACACUGGAACUGAGACACGGUCCAGACUCCUACGGGAGGCAGCAGUAGGGAAUCUUCCGCAAUGGGCGAAAGCCUGACGGAGCAACGCCGCGUGAGUGAUGAAGGUCUUCGGAUCGUAAAACUCUGUUAUUAGGGAAGAACAUAUGUGUAAGUAACUGUGCACAUCUUGACGGUACCUAAUCAGAAAGCCACGGCUAACUACGUG
rnacentral:rRNA from 1 species